UACGGAGGGGACUAGCGUUGUUCGGAAUUACUGGGCGUAAAGCGCACGUAGGCGGAUUUGUAAGUCAGGGGUGAAAUCCCGGGGCUCAACCCCGGAACUGCCUUUGAUACUGCAAAUCUCGAGUCCGGGAGAGGUGAGUGGAACUGCGAGUGUAGAGGUGAAAUUCGUAGAUAUCGCUUGGAACGCCAACGGUGAAAACAAGGUUGCUGGGGUUGUGGCCGACGCUGAGACACGAAAAGCCAGGGGAGCAAAGCGGGAUUAAGAA
rnacentral:rRNA from 1 species